UGAGUCUUGCAGUUACUUAACUGUGGAGUAAGAAAUAAGUUCAAAAAAUUUAAAAGAAGAAAUGUUUCCUGCUUCUGCACAUCAGCAGCUACUGCUUUACCCUUUGCACAUUGUUGGUUCAGUAUGGAAUGGCUGCUGGCAGGGGAAGGAGCGUGGAUGUGGAAGGUCUUGCAGAUAUGGCCUGCAAAGUAAGUAGGAGACCUGGAAGGUGGCAGGGGGAGGAAUCAAUGUGGUGGAGAGAGGAAGAUCCAAACUCCUGCAGCCUCUGUGCUCUGGUGUUCCACAUACACCUUACAAAAGGAAGCAGCUUGGAAUGCAAGAUAGAUUAUGGAUCAGCAGCCUUCAGUCUCCCAGGAAUUACAUGAACUUUCUUAUUUAUUGUUGGAGGUUACAAGAGGUUACCCCUGCGUAUUGGGGCUGUAAGAUUUCUCAAGAGCAAUACAAAGCAUUUCACACAGGGCUGAACAACUGAAGUGCCAAGUCUAUAAAAGGUCCUGAUCUAAACACAUUAAUUUGCAAAGACAAGUGAAGCAAGGUUACAUAUUUCUGGUGGAGACUUACAAGAGGAACAUCCCUUGUAACUAUUUAGAUUUUUCUACUCUAGGAGCAAAGGGAGAAGGUGAUGCUAAAGUCAAGGAGAUGCUAAAGUCAAUGUUGUCCUUUUCUGUAAGAAAACCCAGUGAAUUUUAAAACAGUUUUUUCUAGUGAAACAAAAACUGCUCUGAUUUUGAAAGCAACUUCAUUGUCCUGGAGCUGGAGUACAAUGAUUUGUAAGUUGAAACAGAACAUAACUUUUAGCUAUGUUUUAACUGACAUAACUUAUAAUCUUAUUAACAUGGUCUACAAAUGAGGUUACAAAUUAGUGUUUUCUAACUAUAACAGUGAAAUUCAAGUUGAACAAAAACACUUGCUGGAUAUUGGGCAUUUAUUUAUACAUUUUGCAUAUUGAAGUUACAUGACCCACUGGAUGAUGGUGAAAAUUUCUGGUUUUGCAGUAGGUUGGUAACAUGUUGCUCUCAUACGGAAUGAUGGAAGUGCAGCUCUGGUUUUCCUGGAACAGUUAUUAACAUGAGUGAAACUGUGCAUGCACAGGUUUGAGAAAAUGGACAGACUGUCAAAUCCAUUGAUCAAAUGUUCUGAGAGAUAAAAGUUGAAGACACUUUUCAAUGUAAUAAGACAACUGUUACUCUCCAAAUCAGUAGUGAAUGCUUAUUACUGCUCUGUUAGCCAGCUGAACAGAGAGGACUUUGCAAGUAUCCAAGACGGGAUGAUGAGAGAACAGAAAAAAGAAAAAAAAAAAUAUUAAAGCUUUGGCUGUGAUAACUCAUCCCCUUGGCACAGCACUACUCCAAGGCCAGACCUGGACACUUGUCCAGAGGAACUUGGUAUCCAAGGUACAUUUCUGUGCCUUGUUAUUGCACCAACCUGUGCCUGAUGUGGGCCACUCUGAUGAUUUAUACAAGUCCUUUAUAGUGCAUUAAUACAACAGGUGAGUGGAAACUUCCAUUAACUCCUCCUCCACAGAAGAGACCUUGAAAGAAAAAGGGGUUUGAAGCAGGGCUGUGCCAUGCUCUGACUCGGGUAUGGUAGUCAGGGGUGGGAGGCAGACUGCAGAAAGAAACAGAGCCUGAGUCACAGUGAAGCAACCAGCUCUGCACAGAAAAACACCCCUCUCUCGGCUCCACUCCUGGCAGAGCUGGUCUUUCAUCUGGUGAAAAAUGGGGAUGAAAUACCUCCCUUGCUACCCUUCGGAAAACACUUCAGUAUCCUCAAAGGGGAUUUAAAAGCAGCAUCAUUAUAAGUGGGAAAUGAAUUGCUCUCUUGCUGGAUUUAGCAGCUUCCUGUUUUGGAAACCCGAGAUACCAUCUCAAAUUUCUGUUUGUUGUCAGGCUGGAAGAAGAGACUCAGAGGCUGCAAAGCCUCUGGUGAGGCAGCGCUUCAUUUGCUAAUUGUCUCUGCCAGACAAUGCCAUUUACACUGGGCACAAAAUCACCUCUAACCUCCACUGACCAGAAAAUCGCUAUAUCCUUAACUCCCAUCCUUUUGAAACAGUACCCACUGUAGUACCACUGCAAACCCGGACUGCGUGUGCCAGCCCCUCUCACUGGACAACAAAAUACAGGGAUAAUUAUUGCUGAUUCAUUCACAAACAUCCUGGUUUCCAGACAUAAUUACAAUAUCAUAAGCAACUGCAUUAUAAAAGAAAGAUGUUUGACUUGUCACGCAUAAUGUCAUGAAGCGCUCGCUUUGAGGACCGAGCUCUUUGACAGGAACAGCACUGGCAUCUGCCCUAAGCACGCCCUGGAUGGGUCUGGGUCCUGUGCUCUCUGGCUGGGCUGGGGUCUCUGGUGCAGAGGACGGGCAGAACUGAGGUUCAGAGAGGUCUUUGCAGUCAGGAGGCUGCUUGACAUCUGCUCUUACUCUCCCAGACUGAAUUUUCACACGUUUCUGUCAGAAAAGCUGGUGAAGCUGGGCUUUGCCUCUGUGAGAGCUCCUCAGUAUGGAAAAGAUCUCCUACAAAUUACAGUCUUUAUUGCUCUUUUGCUUUUUUAGGCCAUGUUGCAAUGCUUGCCACUUUUGCUGUAUAAAAUUCAGGUGUUCUGCCUACCUGCUUCUCCUCCUCCAUUAGCCAGAUGAUCACAGCAGCUACAUCAGUUCUAAAUGGGAUCAGACCUGAAAGCUGCAGCUCUGACACUCAGGACAAUGACCUGCAAGGGUUUUUUCCUCCAUUGUUUAACACUUGCUUAAGUUGGAGCACUGAGAAAGCCCUUGAAUUUUGCCCUUCAGCUGGUGGAUCUGCGGGGAUGUUUUGGCUGUGAGAUGUUGCUCUUUGUUUUGGAGACAAGGCAGCACAGGAAACUGGCUUGACAGCCACAGCUCACUUAAAUGCCCUCGUGGCUGCUCAUGGCAACGCAAUAAGCCAGUGUUGCCCAAGUCUAUUUUCUCUAACACCAGUCUUUAAAGAGCAGGAGGUUAUUUUUCCUUUGUUGCAAAGGCUGGUUCAGGCACGUCUGACUGGGAUGUGACAUUUCCUGAGGGAUGUGGUUAAAGACAAAGUAAACGCUGGUGCUUUGGUGACUCCACAAAAAUCUGAUCGCCUGAGACUGCCAUGGAUGAGAGCAUCUGGGAAGCAGCAAUGCUUCUCAUCUCUUCCCUUGGGAAGUUAAUGGGACUGCUAAAUAUCAGGAACUGCUAAAUAUCUGGACCUCACAUGAAGCAGGAAUAUAUUACAUGUAUUUGAACAUUCUGGUGCAGAAAGAAGUGGAGGUAUGAAUCAAUUAUUAAAAAUUAGAUAAAAUAUAUAAUAAAUUAUUAAAAUUUAUUAAAUUAUUCUUUAAUGACCUUUCAGGAGUAUUGUGUCAGAAUUAUCACUGAAAUGCAAGGGAAGAAGUGAUUCUUUACUAAAGGUGGAGCUCCCAAACCAACUGGAGUGCCUCCUAGCAAAAAUGAGGGUCAAAAAGGCUUAUUUUCUACCCAUUUAAACAGAAAGGGAGUAUUAAAAGUCUGUGUGAUACAGAGAGGGUACCAGGCAAUGUACCAGCAUUAGGUACCAGCAAAGAUGAGUGGUCUCCUCAGAGGAAUCUUGCACAAUGAAAUUCUCCAGCUUUUGCUGGGGCUCAGUUGCCGGCCUCCAGUUAAGCUCCUGCUUGAGAGGGGACAUGGAAGCCUUCCCCAUCCCUCCCUCCCUCCCUGCCCCACACGAGUGUUUUGUCCCUCUCUGUAUCAAGAGAAAGAUGGGGAAAAAGCUAGAGCCAGUCUUUUAUUCACUUCAAUUUUCAAUUUUUAAGAUUCUAUGAGCGGCUGAAGGACUUAAAUCUGUUAUUGCCACAGAGGAAUCUUGUUCUGCCUGAUUCAUGCUGAGUACACUCAUAAACCAAAGCAGCCACAUUGAUGAAGAAAUGUUCUUCAAAAACCUCCUUAAUCUCAUUUCAGUAUGAAACUAAGGGAUGGACUUUUUAAGCAGGUCCUCUUGAAACCAGCCCAAAAGAUUAAUGUGUAAAUGCACAGAUGCUCUGGAAGCUCUUCAAUGGAGACAUUUUAUUUCCAAAUAACCACAGCAGUAACUGCUCAUAACAAAAAAGAUGAUUAAUGUCAUUGUGGCCAAAGUAAUGUAAGUCCCUAAACUUGACAGCAUAGUAUUUGCAUAUUACCUCGAUGUCAGAGUUUCUCACACUACCUUUAUUUAUUUUUACUGGAUGAAGCACAAGAAAAGCAUGAUGCUUGCUUAAAUCUCCACAAAUCCAAACAUCUGAAGCUACAUUGCUCCAUUUUCCUGGCUCUGUUCCUCUCUGAAGGCACACUGCUUGCAUGCUCACUCUCGUUUUUCCCAUGAACUACAGGGUGCAGGCCAAAAUACCCUUUGCAACUGGUAACUCCUAGGCACACUGGGUUCCAGUUAAUAUAACAACUGGACAUUUCAUAAUGCUUGAAGCAUCUGUGGCAUGAAUAAAAUCAGCAGGAAAUAUAAGGAGCAUUUUUUGUUUUCCACUGGGUCAAUUUUAUUAAAUUCGGUGGAAAUAUCAUACAAUGACAAAAGAAGUUAAUUUACAUGGAAAACUGAUCCUGACACCCGUGACAACAGCAUCAGAGUGGCAUACAGGAUGUGCUUGGAUGUGCAAAGGCUGAGCAGCCCUCUGUGCACUGGCUCAGCGAGGUUCUUGUG